rnacentral:rRNA from 1 species
UACGGAGGGUGCAAGCGUUAUCCGGAUUUACUGGGUUUAAAGGGUGUGUAGGCGGGCUUUUAAGUCUGGGGUGAAAUCUCCGAGCUCAACUCGGAAACUGCCUUGGAUACUAUUAGUCUUGAAUUAUGUUGAGGUUGGCGGAAUAUAACAUGUAGCGGUGAAAUGCAUAGAUAUGUUAUAGAACACCGAUUGCGAAGGCAGCUAACUAAGCAUAUAUUGACGCUGAGGCACGAAAGCGUGGGGAUCAAACAGGAUUAGAUACCCGAGUAGU